rnacentral:rRNA from 1 species
GUGAGGAAUUUUCCGCAAUGGGCGAAAGCCUGACGGAGCAAUGCCGCGUGAAGGAUGAAGGCCUAUGGGUUGUAAACUUCUUUUCUCAGAAAAGAAUUAUGACGGUAUCUGAGGAAUAAGCAUCGGCUAACUCUGUGCCAGCAGCCGCGGUAAGACAGAGGAUGCAAGCGUUAUCCGGAAUGAUUGGGCGUAAAGCGUCUGUAGGUUGUUUAAAAAGUAUUCUGUCAAAGAUUAGGGCUUAACCCUAGAUAGGCAGAAUAAACUUUUAAGCUAGAGUGUGGUAGAGGCAGAGGGAAUUCCCGGUGGAGCGGUGAAAUGCGUAGAUAUCGGGAGGAACACCAAAGGCGAAGGCACUCUGCUGGGCCAAUACUAACACUGAGAGACGAAAGCGAGGGGAGCAAAUGGGAUUAGAUACCGGGUAGUCC